GCGCGAGUGGCGAAACAGUAGACGCGCUAGCUUGAGGGGCUAGUGUCCAUUGCGGACGUGGAGGUGCGAUUCCUCUCUCGCGCA
rnacentral:tRNA from 1 species